AGCAGUCGCCGCGGGAACACGUAGGGUGCAAGCGUUAAUCGGAAUUACUGGGCGUAAAGCGUGCGCAGGCGGUUUCGUAAGACAGAUGUGAAAUCCCCGGGCUUAACCUGGGAACUGCAUUUGUGACUGCGAGGCUAGAGUGUGUCAGAGGGGGGUGGAAUUCCACGUGUAGCAGUGAAAUGCGUAGAGAUCGGGAGGAACAUCAGUGGCGAAGGCGGCCAUCUGGGACAACACUGACGCUGAGGCACGAAAGCGUGGGGAGCAAACAGGAUUAGAUACCCGGGUAGUCCCUGUCUCUUAUCC
rnacentral:rRNA from 1 species